rnacentral:rRNA from 1 species
AUAAACGCUGGCGGCGCACAUAAGACAUGCAAGUUGAACGGACUUAAUCGAAAUAUUUAUAUUUUGAAGCGGUUAGUGGCGGACUGGUGAGUAACGCGUAAGGAACCUGCCUAUUAGAGGGGAAUAACAGUGAGAAAUCAUUGCUAAUACCGCAUAUGCCAUAGAUAUCACAUGAUAACAGUGGGAAAGGAGCAAUCCGCUAAUAGAUGGCCUUGCGUCUGAUUAGAUAGUUGGUGGGGUAACGGCCUACCAAGUCGACGAUCAGUAGCCGGACUGAGAGGUUGAGCGGCCACAUUGGGACUGAGAUACGGCCCAGACUCCUACGGGAGGCAGCAGUCGGGAAUAUUGCGCAAUGGAGGAAACUCUGACGCAGUGACGCCGCGUAUAGGAAGAAGGUUUUCGGAUUGUAAACUAUUGUCGUUAGGGAAGAGAAAGGACAGUACCUAAGGAGGAAGCUCCGGCUAACUACGUG